rnacentral:rRNA from 2 species
AGCAUCCGUAGCUCGUUUUGUAAGUUUUCGGUUAAAUCCAUGCGCUUAACGUAUGGGCUGCCGGGAAUACUGCAUAACUAGGAAGUGGGAGAGGUAGACGGUACUCGGUAGGAAGGGGUAAAAUCCUUUGAUCUAUUGAUGACCACCUGUGGCGAAGGCGGUCUACCAGAACACGUUCGACGGUGAGGGAUGAAAGCUGGGGGAGCAAACCGGAUUAGAUACCCGGGUAGUCCCAGCUGUAAACGAUGCAGACUCGGUGAUGCAUUGGCUUGUGGCCAGUGCAGUGCCGCAGGGAAGCCGUUAAGUUUGCCGCCUGGGAAGUACGUACGCAACUAUGAAACCUAAAGGAAUUGGCGGGGGACUACA